AAUGGAGGCAACUCUGACCCAGCCAUGCCGCGUGAAGGAUGACGGCCCUAUGGGUUGUAAACUUCUUUUAUACGGGAAUAAACCCGGGUACGUGUACCCGGCUGAAUGUACCGUAAGAAUAAGGAUCGGCUAACUCCGUGCCAGCAGCCGCGGUAAUACGGAGGAUCCAANCGUUAUCCGGAUUCAUUGGGUUUAAAGGGUGCGUAGGCGGAUUUGUAAGUCAGCGGUGAAAUCCUACAGCUUAACUGUAGAACUGCCGUUGAUACUGCAAGUCUUGAGUACAUUUGAUGUGGGCGGAAUGUGUCAUGUAGCGGUGAAAUGCUUAGAUAUGACACGGAACACCGAUUGCGAAGGCAGCUCACAAAACUGUAACUGACGCUGAGGCACGACAGCGUGGGGAUCAAA
rnacentral:rRNA from 1 species